GUGCAAAUGAUGGAAAAAUCACUAGUUGGAAAAGAAUGACACAAACAAAGGAACCACUGAUGCAU